rnacentral:lncRNA from 1 species
AGCAAAAAAGCAUGGGAGGCCUCUAAAGCCAGAAAAGGCAAGAGUACAAAUAAUCCUUUACAGCCUUCAGAUAGAAUGCAGCCCUGAUGGCAGCUUGAUUUUAGCUCUUGUCAGAAUUCUGACCUGCUAAAAUGGAAAAAAACAAACCAACCAACAAACUGAGCCUGAAACUGAUAACACAGAUACGUACAGCAUCAUAUUUAAGUAACCAAUCGGAAUUAUUGCAGUGGAGAUGUUUUAUUGGUGGGAAAUACGGUAUCACACCAUUUCAGACAUCAGGAGAUAAUUAUCCCUGUCUUCUCGGAACCAGCUUCUUCAAAGGAGUCAGGAAUUAUUUAUGAUAGAAACUACUGAAACAAUACUAAGGAGUUCAUAGGUUGCUGAGAAGGUAGCUUCCUGCCCUCUGCUUGAGGAACACGGAUGGAAGAAAGGAGAAGAUCUGGUCAACACAGCUCCUGAAAUGCUGAUUAAGCAUUAUGGGAUUUAAGGUUUCCUGGCCAAGUCUGAGCUAAAAUGUUAACACUCCUGAAGAACACCAUAAAGAAAGAAAAACAAAAACAAAAAAAUUCUCUCGUUUCUUUGCUUCUCAGUCAAUCUUCACACUAGGGUGAGGGAUAUAGGGGUCGUUCUUAUGCUAAGAAAAAGAAACACUGCAUGGUACAGAUCAUAUUUUCUUCACUAAAUUCAACUUUACUUAGCAAAAUAUUCAAGUGUCUUAGCUGAUUCAGAUGGGAUAAUUUAUAAACAGCAUAAAUAUAUUGCUCACAGUUCUUGAGGGUAGGAAGUCCAAAAUGAAGGUGCUGGCAGAUUUGCUGUUUGGUGUGGCUCUCUGCUUCAGAGAUGGCAUUUUCUAUGCG